UCUGCUUUAUCAGCUAGCGGUCCCACUAGAGUGCCCAACUGAAUGAUGGCAACUAAUGGCAAGGGUUGCGCUCGUUGCGGGACUUAACCCAACAUCUCACGACACGAGCUGACGACAGCCAUGCAGCACCUGUCUCCACGUCCCCGAAGGGAACCCCUACUUUCAUAGGGUAGCGUGGGAUGUCAAGCCUAGGUAAGGUUUUUCGCGUUGCAUCGAAUUAAACCAGAUACUCCACCGCUUGUGCGGGCCCCCGUCAAUUUCUUUGAGUUUUAAUCUUGCGACCGUAAUUCCCAGGCGGGAUACUUAAUGCGUUAGCUGCGACGCCAAAGGGGUAAGAACCUCUGACAUCUAGUAUCCAUAGUUUACGGCGUGGACUAC
rnacentral:misc_RNA from 1 species